AACGAACGCUGGCGGCAUGCCUAACACAUGCAAGUCGAACGAGACCUUCGGGUCUAGUGGCGCACGGGUGCGUAACGCGUGGGAACCUGCCCUUAGGUUCGGAAUAACUCCCCGAAAGGGGUGCUAAUACCGGAUAAUGUCUUCGGACCAAAGAUUUAUCGCCUUUGGAUGGGCCCGCGUUGGAUUAGCUAGUUGGUAGGGUAAAAGCCUACCAAGGCGACGAUCCAUAGCUGGUCUGAGAGGAUGAUCAGCCACACUGGGACUGAGACACGGCCCAGACCCCUACGGGGGGCAGCAGUGGGGAAUAUUGGAAAAGGGGCGAAAGCCUGAUCCAGCAAUGCCGGGUGAGUGAUGAAGGCCUUAGGGUUGUAAAGCUCUUUUCCCCGGGAUGAUAAUGACAGUACCGGGAGAAAAAGCCCCGGCUAACCCCGU
rnacentral:rRNA from 1 species